AGAUCUCCCGUUGUGUGAGAGAAACGCAAGCACGGAGCUCCCUUGACCUGCUGCAUCCUCCUCGGCAAUUUUUUUUUUUUUAAGUCAAAAAGCUUGGAUUUCCUGAAAUUGUUGAACUGGAUGCGGCUGUUGAAGAGUGAACUUGGAUCAUUCAUUACAGACUAUUUUCAGAACCAGCUUCUUGCAAAAGGACUGUUCUUUGUGGAGGAGAAGAUCAAGCUGUGUGAAGGUGAAAAUCGCAUUGAGGUUCUGGCUGAAGUCUGGGACCACUUCUUCACUGAGACUCUCCCUACCCUGCAGGCAAUAUUUUAUCCAGUUCAGAGUGUUCACGAGCCCACAGGCCCAAGUGAGAGUUAUUUGCAACUGGAGGAGCUGGUGAAGCAAGUGGUUUCUCCUUUCCUUGGCAUCAGCGGGGACCGUAGCUUCUCAGGCCCCACGUACACGCUGGCCAGGCGGCACUCCAGGGUCCGGCCCAAGGUGACUGUCCUGAACUAUGCCUCCCCAAUAACCACAGUCAGCCGGCCACUGAAUGAGAUGGUCUUGACCCCACUGACAGAGCAGGAGGGGGAAGCCUACCUGGAGAAGUGUGGCAGCGUGCGGCGGCACACGGUGGCCAAUGCCCACUCGGACAUCCAGCUGCUGGCCAUGGCCACCAUGAUGCACUCGGGCCUGGGGGAGGAGGCCAGCAGUGAGAACAAGUGCCUGCUCCUGCCACCCAGCUUCCCCCCACCCCACCGGCAGUGCUCCAGUGAGCCCAACAUCACCGACAACCCUGACGGACUGGAGGAGGGGGCCAGGGGCAGCCAGGAGGGCUCGGAGCUGAACUGUGCUUCCCUCAGCUGAGUCGCCACCCCUGGGCCUUUCCAUCUCCUGUUUUGCAACCAGGAUGAGGACCCCUCCAUCUCCGUGGAUUACCGAGGGGGGCUCUUGCUUUAUGCGACGCUGCCUUAUUUCUUUUAGGGUACUGUCCUGGUCAAAAUGACCUAAGGGAAAACCGUUGUUGUAAACCUCUUUAUUUUGGUGACUGUCACCACUUCUUUGUAGCCACCAAUUGUAGUGACCAAUUGCCUAAUGGUCACUUUCUGACUCCAGCCUUGCCAGCCUGACUCAGAUCCUCAUCUCUGGGCCUUUCUCCCUCCGAUGUUGGACUGCCUGAUGCUCCCAAUGACAUAUCCAAUGCUCCUGGCAUUUCUGGAGCAGGAGGUUGUCAGGACAGCACAUAUAACCACCAAGGAUGUGUUGGCCUUUGGAGUUCCCCUUUAGGUUCCUAGUGAUGUGGAGGUUUAUGGGUGAAAAAUUAGUGGAGAGGGAACUCCUCUCCCCCAUUUUGUGUAGAGUGAAAAUAGCCUGAAGCCCCUACUCAGCAGGGCUCUGGGAAUGUGCCUUCCUUAUUUUAGUUUCAGAAUUGCUGGGAAAGUUACCCCACUGGUGAGUGAAUAUCUAUCCUCACCUACAUCCAGAUCCUAUGUGCUGCUUGCACAGAGGCCUUUGGCUUUUGACCCAGGAGGGCCGCGAGCCUGGAGCUGCCCUGUCUUUCAUUGAGCCUUAGCAUUUCCCUCUCAGGCUUCCUCUCAAGCUCAAGGAACUCACCCCCAGAUAAGAAGCUGGUGCCUCUUGUCUCUCUCGUUUCAGAAACGGACUUUCUCAUCAUGCUUUCCUAUGGUGGGUAUGAGGGGCCAGCUGAUACCAACCAACUGGCCUGUAUCUAUCUGGAUUUGACUUGAAUUUUUAAAAUGUGUAUCGUUUCAAAAAAAAUGUUUGCAAAUUUUGCACAUAGGAUCUUGCACUGUUCAUUUCCAAUGGGGUGAGUCUUCACACUAAAAACACAAGCAGAGCUCCUGGGAAAAGAGACUGGAAGUGGUUCAGGAUAAAGAGAUCCAUGGUGGACAGGGCUCUUAGGUCACAGAGCUCUAGAAGCAGCUGGACUUGAACCCACAAUGGCUUGUGUAAAUUUGUAAAUUUCAUGGUUUCUAGGAAAAGCUGCAUUGGGGUGGGGAGACCCAGUUUGCCUCAUAGGCAGAGGAUUCUCCAGGAAGCAUGGAAAAUGGAAUGUUUCCAUGCUUUACAGUGCUGGGAGAGAGGGGAGAUGUGGGCAGGACCUUUUGGAAGGAUGUUUAUUCUCUGUGGUUAAAGAAAUGCUGAGAAUUUCUAGCAUGUGAAGCACUUGGGGGCAGCAGGCCUUGGCACGGUGCUGCAUCCUUCUACUGCUCCCUCCAGGUCUGGGGGCUUUUAUCCACCUUGAAUCCCUAUCCUCCUCUUUGUAGUUGUCGGUCUCACUGAUAACAGCUCCAGAAAAAAAGAAAGACAAGGCUUCCCCUCUGACCCUUCCUGUUGGUAUUUAUGAAAUCUCAAAGAGAUGAGCCACCUUGGCUUCCAAUAUGGCAAGAGGGUGCUGGGAGAAGGUGAAGAUCAGUCUAAGCUGCCACGGUGAUGAGACCUUCUCAUUUAACUCUUGAUAGCAUUUCCCUUCUGAGUGAAGAUUUGAAAUAUGAUUAGAAUUGUGCUCUUGAUGGCUGGGAAUUUAGAAAUUUUAUUUUAAGAGUUAUUUCAUUUUCAUCCUAAGAGUGAUGGGAGAGAAAUGUCCAAAAGAGAUCUGCUGAUCUGCUGAGAAUUUCAAACAAACAAAAAAAUAAUCUCUAUGUAUGUGUUGGAUAAAGUCUACAGACUGACUAACAUGCAUUAGCAAAUGGAGCAUCAGUAGGUAGCAACAUGAUAAUUUAUGUAACUGACAGCUUCUGUCCUUAUUAGUACACUUAACAUUUGAGACUAGUAUUUAUUGAUCCAGGCAAAGUAAUUAAUCAUGCUUGGGCUUACUUUUUCAGUUUGUAAGGUUAAGCAUAUGUGCAUGCGUGCGUGUGUAUAUAAAUGCCUUUUCCAUGUCUUAAAUGUCCCUGAUGAGGAGAGCAGUCAUCAAUUAAAUAUAUAAGCUCUUAAAAUGAGAAUGGAAGUGUCAGUAUAGACCCAGUGUACUUAAGUGCUGAUGACUGUUAGCCAGUUUACAACUUUUUACCAUCGAUGUACACAUUUGAUAUUUGUGCAGUAAAUAGACUGUACCUAU
rnacentral:sRNA from 1 species